rnacentral:rRNA from 1 species
ACGCUCGACACCUACGGGGGGCAGCAGUGGGGGAGUAUUGCACAAUGGGGGAAACCCGUAGAUGCAGCAACGCCGCGUGAGGGAAGAAGGUUUUCGGAUUGUAAACCUCUGUUCUUAGUGACGAUAAUGACGGUAGCUAAGGAGAAAGCUCCGGCUAACUACGUGCCAGCAGCCGCGGUAAUCUGAGCGGGCUGGCAAGGC